UACGUAGGGGGCUAGCGUUGUCCGGAUUUAUUGGGCGUAAAGAGCGUGUAGGCGGCCAAGUAGGUCCGGUGUGAAAACUCGAGGCUCAACCUCGAGAGGUCGGUGGAAACCGUCUGGCUAGAGUCCGGAAGAGGAGAGUGGAAUUCCCGGUGUAGCGGUGAAAUGCGCAGAUAUCGGGAAGAACACCCGUGGCGAAGGCGGCUCUCUGGGACGGUACUGACGCUGAGACGCGAAAGCGUGGGGAGCGAACGAGG
rnacentral:rRNA from 1 species